UACGAGAGGCCCAAACGUUAUUCGGAUUUACUGGGCUUAAAGAGUUCGUAGGCGGCGCAGAAAGUGGGGUGUGAAAUCCCUCGGCUUAACCGGGGAACUGCGUCUGAUACUGGAUGGCUGGAGUGUGGGAGAGGGAUGCGGAAUUCCAGGUGUAGCGGUGAAAUGCGUAGAUGUCUGGAGGAACACCGGUGGCGAAGGCGGCAUCCUGGACCAUUACUGACACUGAAAAGCGAAAGCCAGGGGAGCAAACGGG
rnacentral:rRNA from 1 species